rnacentral:rRNA from 1 species
CCUACGGGGGGCAGCAGUGAGGAAUAUUGGUCAAUGGACGCAAGUCUGAACCAGCCAUGCCGCGUGCAGGAAGACGGCUCUAUGAGUUGUAAACUGCUUUUGUACGAGGGUAAACGCAGUUACGUGUAGCUGUUUGCAAGUACCGCAUGAAUAAGGAUCGGCUAAUUCCGUGCCAGCAGCCGCGGUAAUACGGAGGAUUCAAGCGUUAUCCGGAUUUAUUGGGUUUAAAGGGUGCGUAGGCGGUCGGAUAAGUUAGAUGUGAAAUCCCGAGGCUCAACUUCGGAAUUGCCUCUGAUACUGUUCGGAUAGAGAGUAGUUGCGGUAGGCGGAAUGUAUGGUGUAGCGGGGAAAUGCUUAGAGGUCAUACAGAACACCGAUUGCGAAGGCAGCUUACCGGCGCCCAACUGACGCUCAUGCACGAAAGCGUGGGUAUCGAACAGGAUUAGAUACCCGAGUAGUC